AUUUUUCUUAAUCAUUAUAUUAUUUGUAUUUCAAUUCUUAUUGCAUACAGAUUCUGUCAAAAAUGAUUAUACACUUUAUCUGCAGUAACUCUGUGAAAUGAUUUAAUGAGUCUGUGGCUGUACAUGCCUUGCUCUGUGAAGCAGAGACAUCUAUUUGUCACCUCUUCCUUCCACAUGUGUGCUCUCUCACCGUAGAUUACCUCUCUGCUAGAAAUGGCCCCCUCCAACCUGCUACCUGGGAACUCCUUCCCCUUCCUGCAGAAAUGUCUGCUCUACAGGGCUCCGAGAAUGGAACAGAGUGAUGAUGUGUGCAUCGGCCCAGAGCAGCUACGGCACUCAUUCUGGAAGGCUGAGGUCCAUGGUGCGAGCCUGGAAGACACGCUCCUAGCAUCGCAGGAAAUGCCAGCCAGAAUGUCGGACUGUGGCACUUUCAACUGGAACUCGUUAAGAAUUCAUGGGGCAGAAAAUGUAAGGGGUUCUGGAAACGGAGACUUUGAAAGGCCAGAAGUGAGCCGUAAAUAAACUGCUGCUGAUGCUCAUUUUUCCCCGGUGGUUAAAUACACGUAUGAAACCGGAAUGCAAAUGUGGAGAAAGCCAGGCGAGUUUUGACCUGCAGGCUGAGUCUGCGCGGAGGGCACAGUGACAUUUAUGGGCGCAGGCGCCCUGUGGAGGUGCCGCAGCAGCCGCUGCACAUAGGCAGAAAGCACAUGCCAUCUCGCGUGGCCGUAGACAUCGAGGGCCGUCACCUGCAGGUACUGGCGAGAGC
rnacentral:lncRNA from 1 species